UGGGGAAGCGCUGUAUAAGGUUCCUGUUAUUGAUGUUUGGGUGGUUGACCGGGACGGAUUUUCUCCUGUCACUUUCUUGGCCUUUACAGCUUCGUCAUCUCUCAGGUGCUCUCAGUUGGUUUUUCCCUGCCAGCUGGCUUCGGCAUUACCUGGUAUAAGGCUCCGCCCUUGUCAUUUGUUGAGCAGGAAGAGUGAGUGCUUGUUUUCAUGCAGAUUAUGUCCCGGAUCCAAAUGCGCCCUACGCUAGAGUCUGUCUACACACGGCAAAGAGGUGGAGCCGUUACCAAGACAGAGAACUGAGGUAGAGUGAAAGAAAAUGUUUUUUCUAAGGUCAAAAGCAGCUGCACUUCUUCCCUUAACCACCAUUAAAACUAUUCCUGGGAAAAGGCGGCCAUGAGUUCUUCAUCUGGCCACCUGUUUGAUGUGAAGUAAAGCAAACUUUUCUUGCAGUGAAACAGUGAAAAUCUAGAGUAAAGCUAGAGAAAGUAUUUCUUAUCCCACUACUCAGAGGAGUAGUUGAUAGAAUAGUCUAUUACUAAAAUAAUCAAUGCCUGCAGCCCACUCUGCUUCGUAAUGCUAUCCUUCUUUGAAGUAGCUUCUGCCUUCUAUUCAGUCUCUCUGACCCAAUAUGAUGAGUGAAAGUAACCCAAAGUAUUUUUAGGUGGUUUCAGUGGUUAUAAUAGUUGCCGCAGAGUAAGAAGGUCCUAGUUUGAAUCGAGUGGCUAGCUGGUACCUGUCGUUUUUGAGUUUCUUCUCGCUGUGUCGGUUUGCUCCUGGUACUCUGGCUCCUCCCAACGUUCAAAGGCAUGUUUUUGAGGUUAGGAUGCGUAGCAAGUGUGAAUGUGGUUGUCUGUCUGUGGUCUACCCUCCCCCUUGCCCAGUGACAGCAGGCAGAGGUUACUUUAAAAAAUGAAAAAACUGAGGUUACCAGGUGUAAAAAUAAAUAAAGCUAACAAUAAACUA